UACGUAGGGGGCAAGCGUUGUCCGGAUUUAUUGGGCGUAAAGAGCGUGUAGGCGGCCAGGUAGGUGGGUUGUGAAAACUGGAGGCUUAACCUCCAGACGUCGAUGGAAACCGUAUGGCUAGAGUCCGGAAGAGGAGAGUGGAAUUCCUGGUGUAGCGGUGAAAUGCGCAGAUAUCAGGAAGAACACCCGUGGCGAAGGCGGCUCUCUGGGACGGUACUGACGCUGAGACGCGAAAGCGUGGGGAGCGAACAGG
rnacentral:rRNA from 1 species